UUUUAUCUCUCUAGAAUCUUUAUACUCUCUCUCUGACUGCAUCACGGACUCUAGGAUAAACUUGAGAUGAAAAUAAGAUGAUCCGAGAUUGCUCCGAAAUUCAUGCGAUAGAUCUGAUCCCAGUCCGAUCCUAUUCAAAAUUUGCAACACUUGAUUCAUAUUGAGUCACCCUGAUAGGACCUCUGAUGAUCUCGAUCAUGAGUGCCUCAUCGGAAGGAUAUGAAAGUUUCUCUCUCCACUUUCUCUCUCUACUUUCUCU
rnacentral:lncRNA from 1 species